rnacentral:rRNA from 1 species
GUGAGGAAUAUUGCGCAAUGGAGGCAACUCUGACGCAGCCAUGCCGCGUGCAGGAAGAAGGCGCUACGCGUUGUAAACUGCUUUUAACCGGGAAGAAACCCCAGGACGUGUCCUGGGUUGACGGUACCGGAGGAAUAAGCACCGGCUAACUUCGUGCCAGCAGCCGCGGUAAUACGAAGGGUGCAAGCGUUAUCCGGAUUCAUUGGGUUUAAAGGGUGCGUAGGCGGAGCGGUAAGUCAGUGGUGAAAUCCUGCAGCUUAACUGUAGACUUGCCAUUGAUACUGGCGCUCUUGAGUGCGCUUGAAGUGGGCGGAAUGUGCCGUGUAGCGGUGAAAUGCUUAGAUAUUACAUGGAAUACCAAUUGCGAAGGCAGGUUACUACUUGUGGAUUGACGCUGAUGGACGAAAGCGUGGGGAGCGAACAGGAUUAGAUACCCUAGUAGUCC